UUCUUGCCUAGAAGGGGGGCAAGGCGAAGAGGGUACCGAAUGAGACCUGGAGUGAGCAGAAGCUCGCCAUACCUGGCCCCAUGCCCUUCCCCAGCCCGCUGACUCAGCCCAUGAAAGGCCUCAGAUCUGGAAGGUGAGUCAGGUAGCAAGCGUUCUGGGAUGGAUGGGAGAGGGUGCUCAGAGCUCUGUAACCCCACAAGGCCAGCCGAGUAAGCAUCCAUGCAGGAACCAACUUUGAGAAGAGUCUGAGGCCAAGCUGGGUCUGGUCACCCUUAGCUUCCUCCACCCCAGGGACCCUGUGGAAAAGGCUGACCUUGAGGAUGGAACCCGCAGUAGGGCUGCUGAUGAUGUAAAGUCAUGCCUCUAGCAAUGCCUCAGUUUUCACUAAUAGCCACAUCAGUCCCUGUACUAACUGUUGUCUUCUCCCUAUACCUGUUCUAACCCGGGUGAACAAAUGACCAAUCGUGCCCAUCUAAAACCCAAGCGCUUCAGAGUGAUCCUCAACAACCUGGGCCAGCCUGAAAGGAUAGGGUAUUCUGUCAAAGCAACAGACCAAGAAACGGAGAUAGGCCCCUUCCACCCACGUACACCACGCCUCUCAGCUCUGGCAAAUGCAAAUGGAGAGUCAAUAUUGGCUGUCGAAAACACCAGCAGGUCCCGGUAGUUGUCGUUGGAGACAAUGACGCCAUCCUUCUCGAAGGCCACCUUCACAAUGUAACGGUCAUCGUAGCAGACCACUCGCUUGCCAUUGACCUUGCGGGACGGGGUGUACACCAGCACAGACUGCCGCUCCAGCUCCUCCAGCACGUGCUGCUCUGAGGCCGCAGGUGCAGACUGGAGUCAAGGCUCGGUAGAAGGGCCCGCCCCCCAACCCGGGAACGCGCCCCCCAACCCGGGAACGCGCCCCCCAACCCGGGAACGCGCCCCCCAACCCGGGAACGCCCCCACCCAAGCCAUCCACCUCCAUACCGGCUGCAGCCAGUCAGACCCGAGUAGGUUCGAAGGGACUAUUACUGUUUAGACAAUUCUUACUAUAAAGUCUAGGCUGAAUCUCAA